rnacentral:sRNA from 1 species
GCGAACUUGCGGGAGCUUGCUCCCAAAAGUUAUCGCCGGACGGGUGAGUAACACGUGGGCAACCUGCCUAUAAGACUGGGAUAACUUCGGGAAACCGGAGCUAAUACCGGAUAAUUCAUAUCUACUCAUGUAGAUAUGCUGAAAGACGGUUUACGCUGUCACUUAUAGAUGGGCCCGCGGCGCAUUAGCUAGUUGGUGAGGUAACGGCUCACCAAGGCGACGAUGCGUAGCCGACCUGAGAGGGUGAUCGGCCACACUGGGACUGAGACACGGCCCAGACUCCUACGGGAGGCAGCAGUGGG